rnacentral:rRNA from 1 species
UACGAAGGGGGCUAGCGUUGCUCGGAAUCACUGGGCGUAAAGCGCACGUAGGCGGAUUGCUAAGUCAGGGGUGAAAUCCUGGAGCUCAACUCCAGAACUGCCUUUGAUACUGGCAACCUUGAGUCCGGGAGAGGUGAGUGGAACUGCGAGUGUAGAGGUGAAAUUCGUAGAUAUUCGCAAGAACACCAGUGGCGAAGGCGGCCAACUGGUCCGGUACUGACGCUGAGGUGCGAAAGCGUGGGGAGCAAACAGG